rnacentral:rRNA from 1 species
AGAGAGAGACAUGCGCGCAUAUCAAUAAGCGGAGGAAAAGAAACUAACAAGGAUUCCCUUAGUAACGGCGAGUGAAGCGGGAAGAGCUCAAAUUUGAAAUCUUCAAGGUUUUACCUUGACGAAUUGUAGUUUAAAGAAGUGUUUUCUGCUGAAGUUUUGGUAAAAGUUCUUUGGAAUAGGACAUCAUAGAGGGUGAGAAUCCCGUAUUUGACCAUUAUUUCCAGCUUUGUGAUACACUUUCAAAGAGUCGGAUUGUUUGGGAAUGCAGUCCAAAAUGGGUGGUAAAUUUCAUCUAAAGCUAAAUAUUGGCGAGAGACCGAUAGCGAACAAGUACCGUGAGGGAAAGAUGAAAAGAACUUUGAAAAGAGAGUUAAACAGUACGUGAAAUUGUCAAAAGGGAAGCGUUUGACACCAGUGUUGUUUUCUCGAAAAUCAAUUAAAAAUGGCUCGACUUUGUAUUGCUUGAGACCUUAAAAGCUCACUGUACAUUUUUCGUGUCUUUUUUAAUGCACUUUUCGUUUAACGAGUCAACAUCAGCUUCUUUUGUUGUAAAAGGGUCAUUGGAAGGUGGCUUUCUUUUCGGAGAAAGUGUUUAUAGCCUUUGGCCUCUGCAAUCGGAGAGACUGAGGUCUGCAGCGUAGACUCUUCGGGGUUAGAUACAUUUGUGCUAAGUUAUAGCUUUUUAUAGACAACUUGUUGACUAUAAUUAGUCUUGUAGCUUACUCGCUUAUGCUAUUUUACCUACGCUUAGGAUGUUGAGUCGUAGAGCACGCA